CUACGGGUCGCUGCAGUGAGGAAUAUUGCACAAUGGGGGGAACCCUGAUGCAGCAACGCCGCGUGGAGGAUGACGCAUUUCGGUGUGUAAACUCCCUUUAUAUGUCAAGAAAAUGACGGUAGCAUAUGAAUAAGCACCGGCUAACUCCGUGCCAGCAGCCGCGGUAAUACUGGAGGGUGCAAGCGUUACUCGGAAUCACUGGGCGUAAAGGAAGCGUAGGCGGGUUGGAAAGUCAGGUGUGAAAUCCUACAGCUUAACUGUAGAACUGCACUUGAAACUUCUAAUCUAGAGUAUGGGAGGGGGAGAUGGAAUUAGUGGUGUAGGGGUAAAAUCCGUAGAUAUCACUAGGAAUACCUAAAGCGAAGGCGAUCUCCUGGAACAUUACUGACGCUAAGGCGUGAAAGCGUGGGGAGCAAACAGGAUUAGAUACCCCUGUAGUC
rnacentral:rRNA from 1 species